GACGAACGCUGGCGGCGUGCUUAACACUUGCAAGUCGAACGGAAAGGCUCCAGCUUGCUGGAGUACUCGAGUGGCGAACGGGUGAGUAACACGUGGGUAAUCUGCCCUGCACUCUGGGAUAAGCCUGGGAAACUGGGUCUAAUACUGGAUAUGACCUUUCUCCUUAUGGGGUUUGGUGGAAAGUUUUUCGGUGUAGGAUGAGCCCGCGGCCUAUCAGCUUGUUGGUGGGGUGAUGGCCUACCAAGGCGACGACGGGUAGCCGGCCUGAGAGGGUGAUCGGCCACAUUGGGACUGAGAUACGGCCCAGACUCCUACGGGAGGCAGCAGUGGGGAAUAUUGCACAAUGGGCGGAAGCCUGAUGCAGCGACGCCGCGUGAGGGAUGACGGCCUUCGGGUUGUAAACCUCUUUCAGCAGGGACGAAGCGUAAGUGACGGUACCUGCAGAAGAAGCACCGGCUAACUACGUG
rnacentral:rRNA from 1 species